UUUUUUGCAAGACAGGUGGUCCAUCUUGUGUAAGCGAGGGUCUAAGAUGUCAUAGCCCUCAUCUCUCUCUUUUAAGACAGGAUGGCUUUAGACAGUCGAAUUCCAGUGAAGCUGUCAUCACUGGAAGAUUUUCUGAUUUCACCUCUGUGCAAGCCUCCAUCCUCACAGUGUCUUGACAUCGCCUAGGAAAGUUCAUCCAAAGGAAUACAGGCUUGCUGAGAGUGCUCUCAUCCAUCCAUAUUGAGGAGCAGGAGCUGUACUUCCUCGUAAGCUGACAGUAGAAGAAAUUGUCACAAUUUGACCCCAUCUACAUUCUGGAAUACAUCUGCCAACAGCUGCAUCAUAAAACAUUUCUCAAAAUGUGUUCCAGUGACAGUGUAAGAGAUUGAGCUUAUUUAAUUUUUUUCUCAGCAUGGGAAAGACCUUAAAGGCAUGACCCAUUUUGUAUAACUAUAUGAACAUUCUGAGAUGUUUAGACAACCUGUCUGGUGAUAUCAACAACACACAGCACUUCUGGGUGAGUACAAUUGGUCCACAGGUGAAUUCAGAUCAAGAAUUUAAGAAUGAAACUGUCCAUGCCCCAUUUUCCCAUUUCUAAAGAUAACUAGAAUAGCAAAAAUAUUCAUAAACAUUUCUAAGUGAUGCUUAAUCAUUAAAAUUUAAA